rnacentral:rRNA from 1 species
CCCUUAGAUGUCCUGGGCCGCACGCGCGUUACACUGAUGCAUUCAACGAGCUUAUAACCUUGGACGAGAGGCCUGGGCAAUCUUGUUAACGUGCAUCGUGAUAGGGAUAGAUUAUUGAAAUUAUUAAUCUUGAACGAGGAAUUCCUAGUAAACGCAGAUCAUCAAUCUGCAUUGAUUACGUCCCUGCCCUUUGUACACACCGCCCGUCGCACCUACCGAUUGGAUGGUCCGGUGAAGCCUCGGGAUUGUGGUUCUUGCCGCUUUAUUGUGGCGUGACCGCGAGAACUUGUCUAAACCUUAUCAUCUAGAGGAAGGUGAAGUCGUAACA